ensembl:lncRNA
AGGUAUAUAGAAGGAUGUCUCUAAAAUAUAAAUAUAUAUAUGAAAUUCCAAUAAGUUAAAUAAAUAAAUAAGACAAAGGAAUGGGAAAACAGUUCAGUGGAACUCAUUCAAGGCUAAGAGUUUACAUUCAAGUAUCCUUGAUUUUCUCACAAAAACAAAGUUGUCCUUCCCUCAAUAAGUCACAAUGGAAGAACAAUCCAGCAUUCUGAUGAGGAUUGUUUUGUUGAACAGUAAACAAAUAAAUAAUCAUAUCAAAAAACAAAACAUAUGAUAAACACCACAAUGAUCCUGAACUUAAACUUGAGACGCUGGCACCCCACAUCAUCUGUACAGCACACACCUUGACAGACGUGUGCAUAUUCAGUGACUGCCAGACAAAAACACAUUCCACAGAGGUUUCACGUCUUUCUUUUCAAAUGGGCAAUUACAAGGACAUUAGCCCACAGUUUGUUUCAUAGGAAAAAACAAUUACAGCAUUUUCUUGGCACAGCGAGAGCCAUUGAAAGUUGCUUGGCGUUCUGAACAAUCAAAACAUUAUACAGUAGCUAUGCAAUGAAUACUUCCGUCAUCACAAAAGGCCAGUUGCCAAAGUAAAACUUGGAAAGCAGGAUAAGUUGAAGGAUAAGAGAUAAUAAUAAUAAAAAAGAGCUUUCUUCAUUGUUUAACUUGAAGUGAACCUGAUGCCUGUCUUCUAUUGCAGUGGAGUGUUUAUCUGUGUUCAUAAUGCAGUGUCUGUGGCACGGGCAGGGCUCUCCUAUCUCAACCUUUGCCUCCUCAGAGCUGCAGAUUAGCUGCGGUAAAAUAUCAGAGCUAACCUUGAUUACAACUCAGCAGGGUGAAUAGAUGUUAUUGUCACGGGCACGGCCCUCUGUGAAGUCCUUCACAUCAUUGCAGAGAGAGAGAGAGAGUGCCGUGGAGAAGAGGCGUUUUAAGAGUCUGUUCAGAAUGAAUAUCUAUAAUAGUUAAUAUAAUAAAAGUCCAGAGGAGCAGCGACAAUCAGAAUUGGACAAUUUCAUCUCUAUGAGACGAAGCCUACAUUUGCUCUGAUUCAGAGAAAAUAGCCUAAUAGAAAGAAUUCUAUUGAAUGGUAGUAAAACUAUAUUCCAGCAAUCGAUUACAUGACUAUUAAAUGCACAUUUAAAUUCAGGCAUCCAUGAUAAAUGACACAACUAUAGUCAUUUAAAAUGCUGCCACAACCAAUAGAGAGAGUACAUAAGAAAGGUAGCCAUUGUAUAAAAGGCUAAUAUGAUCUUCAAAGUAAUAGUGAUUCUCAGUGGUAUUAUAUUCCUAUAGAACAUUCCAGUGUUAUGACAGUUAAACCAUGGGUGUGCUGUGUAGAGCACAUUCAUACUGAGCUGUCCAUCAGAGAUGCAAAGUCAGACUCUGUGCUUUGAUCUGCAGCAGCAAUGUCCAGCCACAAUCCAAAGCGCCAAAAAACUCAAGGAUUCAGAAACUUUCAAUCUCCCGCCCCACCACCUCCCUUUGGGCGUCUCAAAAGUCAAUAAGCUGGACAAAGCAAGUCUUGUCUUGUUCUUCUCUUUCUCUUUCUCUUUCUCCUUCUCCUUCUUCUUGUCCUCUUCCAUCACUUCGCCGGGGACACACCGCCCUGAGGGUGUGCCUCCCUCCUGGAGAGACAAACCCAGGCUGUCUCUCCCUCUGUCUUUCACUGAGGACGUUUUUUGUUCAGAUGCUCGCGAUUCUUCAUUAUCUCGGUCAUCGUCCUCCUUUAGCGGGCCCUGGGCCAGCCGGUCCCCGACCCUUUCUUCCUCGGGGAGGCAGACUGCUGUUCAACAGCCCUCUGGUUGGCCUGGGCCACCUGCCUGCAAAAAAAAGCAAAUGUACACGAUUAGCCCCAUUGUACUUGUGCAGGAGGGAGAGUCCCAUUCCAUAAGAUGCCUAUCUCACUCAAACAUAUGCUAAUUGCCUCUGUUGUGCUCAGAGGGUAAUUUUAACCACCUUGCACAGUUAGGGGUCCGGUGCUGCUAGCAGGCAUGUUAAGUGUGUGAAUAGGUGCUCUUACCUGAGAAAGGUCAGGAGGUCGUUGCCUUGGCUACGCAUUGUCUUGGUGUGCUGACCCUGAGGGCUGACGAUCACAAGGGCAGGGUUUUCUGAGCUGUUGGGAGAAGAUUAGUACACGUUAAAAACCCAGAUCUAUGAGGUAGAGAUUUUACCCAUUUUUUUUUACCAAGAAGAGUCAUCAAAGGAUAACUGCCAUGACACCAUCAAGGCCUAGAUUUUCUCAAUGACUCCUGGAAACACCCUCAGGUUCCAUUUUUUGUAUAAGUCUCACAGCUAUCUCCCCUGGUAUUUCAUCA